UCUAUUCUUUUAAUUGAUUGAAGAACAUUCGACUUAAUCAUAUUUCACGUCAUCAUGUAUAACCACGAAAAGACUAUGAGGAUACGGAAAGGAAGUAGAUAACAUGAAAAAUGGAAUAUCUAUAUGACAUUUCAUAAUUGCCCCUCAACACAAAUGAGUGGCAGCCAACUCAAAAAAAGCAAGGACAAUUGAUAGUGAAAGCAAACAAUUUAAGUAAAUCUUGGGAGACACAUAUUACUAAAUACUAAAACAAUAUUAAAGGCCCGUUCGGUAGUGAUUAUAAGAAUUGAUUUUUUGACUGUUAGGAAGAAAAAGGGGGCUACUUGUGAGUGCGGAAGUCAAAAAUGACGGCUAAAAUAGUGAAAUAUAACAAUCAAAAAAUUAAUUUUUUAAAGUGAAAAAGCACUAUCAAACGGGAGCUAAGUGCCUUAAAGUAUUUAAUUCUUGUAUUAACA
rnacentral:lncRNA from 1 species